UGACAGGGGCACCUGAUCAUUNAUGCCGCGUGAGUGAAGAGGCCUUCGGGUUGUAAAGCUCUUUCGGCCGGGACGAAAUCGCUCUGGUGAAUAUCCACGGGUGGAUGACGGUACCGGAACAAGAAGCACCGGCUAACUACGUGCCAGCAGCCGCGGUAAUACGUAGGGUGCGAGCGUUAAUCGGAAUUACUGGGCGUAAAGCGUGCGCAGGCGGUUUUGUAAGUCAGACGUGAAAGCCCCGGGCUUAACCUGGGAAUUGCGUUUGAAACUGCAAGGCUAGAGUACGGCAGAGGGGGGUAGAAUUCCACGUGUAGCAGUGAAAUGCGUAGAUAUGUGGAGGAAUACCGAUGGCGAAGGCAGCCCCCUGGGCUAGUACUGACGCUCAUGCACGAAAGCGUGGGGAGCAAACAGGAUUAGAUACCCUGGUAGUCCACGCCCUAAACUAUGACAACUAGUUGUUGGGGAUUAACAUCCUUAGUAACGCAGCUAACGCGUGAAGUUGUCCGGCUGGGGAGUACGGUCGCAAGAUUAAAACUCANAUGAAUUGACGGGGGCCCGCACAAGCGGUGGAGCAUGUGGUUUAAUUCGA
rnacentral:rRNA from 1 species